UAGAAGGUAUUUGUAACCAUAUUUUACU
rnacentral:piRNA from 1 species